UCUUUCUGGUUUUGCUCGAUGAUC
rnacentral:siRNA from 1 species